GAUGAACGCUGGCGGCGUGCCUCAAACAUGCAAGUCGAGCGGGGCUAUGUAAUAUCGCAAGGUAGAACAUAGCCUAGCGGCGAACGGGUGAGUAACACGUGGGUAACCUGCCUGGAAGACAGGGAUAACGAUUCGAAAGGGUCGCUAAUACCUGAUAAUAUCCUUUCAUCGCAUGGUGAUAGGAAGAAAGGGGAAACCCGCUUUCAGAUGGGCCCGCGUCCCAUCAGCUAGUUGGUAAGGUAAAGGCUUACCAAGGCGACGACGGGUAGCCGGUCUGAGAGGAUGUACGGCCACACUGGGACUGAGAUACGGCCCAGACUCCUACGGGAGGCAGCAGUUGGGAAUCUUAGGCAAUGGACGAAAGUCUGACCUAGCGACGCCGCGUGAGGGAAGAAGGCCUUCGGGUUGUAAACCUCUGUCAGUGGGGGAAGAAGUAAGUGACGUACCCAAGAGGAGCCCCUGCUAACUACGUGCCAGCCAGCCGCGGUAAAAAGUACUCUAU
rnacentral:rRNA from 1 species